CCGCAGUGUGUUCCACAGGGGCCUCCCCUGGUCCUCAGAUCACAAACAGACGGUUUCUUAGGUUUUUUGGGCUCUUUUCCCUCCAUGCCUGCUGGCACUUCUGGGCCUUGGGCUGUGUAGGAUUUGAGAAGGUCACCACGAUGCGGGUGCGGGAACUUGGGGCCUCUGUGGUGACCCCGUACUGCCUGGCUGUGACGGACGGUCUGAGAGCCGUGGCCUUUGUGUGGAGCUGGCAGAAGCAGCUCCUGUUCACGGGCACUCGGGACGGCUCCUCGUGCAGAGGCCUGGGGGCCGUGCGCCGGGCCUUGUCCCCUGUGGGGACCCUGAGCCGGCAAGCCCCCGCCGAGGUGAGGUGACUUCGACGCCCCCUUGGCCUCAGCCCCCUCCCCCGCCAGGGGCCCUGGGGGAUUUCAUCAGGCUUCAGACAAUGGCCCUGCUCUAGUGAAACUGACGGAGGAAGAGGCUAGGGCCACAGCUGCCAACUCCCAGCUCCACAAACUCAAAGUUAAGUGGGAACACUUUGGGGAAGGAGAAAUAGCCCCACACAGAAAGCACGCCCACCUGGUGGGUGGGGCCGGGCCACGGCCGCCUCGCUGGCUCUGUGCACCGUCAGUAUACUUUCCAGUUUUUGCCUUAGGAACCACUCACUGAGAUUCUUCAAUGACAGAGCGACCAGCUUGGACACGUUCCUGGGAUCUGCUGCCUGCGACUGCGCCCCUCACCCCCACCCCAUUCCUUGGCCCCAUGACUCGUUCUAUUUUGAUGACCCUGCCAUUCUGUGACUUUGGGUAAGAGGCCCUUAUUCUAGGGAUUUCUAUCCCAUUUUAUGAACAAGCCAGGAGAAUUCAGAGGGGUGAACUCUGAAAGGUUUGCAAGUGGAGCCGUCACGUCUCUUGUCCGAUGCAUCCAAGUCGGAUGGCCCAGGUGAUUCCUGGAGACAGCAGGAUCCCCUGUCCCCCUCACCAGCCAGGGGAGCGCCACCCUCAUCCUGGCCCUGGGGACCCUCGGCUGAGUCUUGCUUUUCUCCGGAAAGAAAGUGUGCAGGAGAGGAGUGCGACCUGGGACUCGUUCUUCCGUUCAGCGGAUGUGGGACAACGUCAGGCCAAUGCCAGGUCCACCAGCGAGGUGUCUGCAACCAGCUGGAUCUGCCACAGGUGACUCAUUCGGCCGUCGCUGCCUCACAUGGGCCCGGCCAUGCACUAAAGAUACGAGGCCACUGGAAGAGAUGCACUGAUGGCCCUGGUGGUCCGUGUCGGGGUGGAGGCCUAGGUAGGAUCAGUCACCCACAGGAUAAGCUAAGGCUAGGACCAGUCCAGAGAUGAGAGGAGGUGCCACUCCACCCCAGGGCUCGGCAAGUAGGGGCUGGGGCUGGGGCUGUGGCCAGGGAAGAUGGCCUGGGUGCUAUUGGCAUGGAAAUCUGAGAGGAAUGGGCCAUCCCAGGUGGAGGAGGGGGACCGGAGCGUUCUGGGCGAGUCUUCGAAGGUCAGACAAGGGGCCUGUUCCAUGGAGUCAGAGCAGGCUGGCAGGGAGGGGGCAGUUGGGGGCGAGGCCCAAGAACCAGCUGGGGCCCAGCGACCCAGGCCUUUCUCCACCCAGCCCUGGGCUGCAGAAGGAGCCUGAUGCGGGGAGAGCAGCCCCUGUGCUGGCCAGGCAGCUGGCUGGGGCUGGCUCAGAUGCAGGGCUGCUUGGAGGCGGCCGGCGCUGUCCAGGCGGGAGGGGCUGUCUUAGGUCAGGUGCUGAGUCUGGGAGCUCUGCAGGGCUGGAUCGGACCCCGGAUUGGGGGGCUGGGCCUGGGAGCAGGAAGCCUGCAGCCCGGUGCUGAGGCCUGAGGCCGAACCCUGGGGAGGGACUGCUGACGACACUGGCAUCUUCUCACGCUUCCUGUGAUGAGAACACGGAAAAUCAACCCUCUCUUUUCACAAGUUGUUCACUUAUUUGAAAGGCAGAGUGACAGAGAGAAAAGGAGGGAGGGAGAGAGGAGAGGGCCUAGGUGUCUACAGCAGCUGGGCCCGGGCCCAGUACUGGGACUCAAGCGCUUGGCCGUCACUGCUGCCUCCCGGGCGCGCACUGUCAGCCCCAGAAGCAGGUCUGGGACUCUGAGUAGGCUCUGCAGUAGGGGUACGGCUGACCCAAGCACCGUCCCAGCCGGGCACCAGGCGCCCAGCCCCCAAUCUCUCUCUGCCAGCCUUUAGGGACACAGCGCGUUAUCAGCUGUCAUUCAACGUCAAGGCCGUGCAGUAACGAACCUCUUGAACUUGUCCGUCUGGUCUCUCUGAAGCUGUGACUGGCAGGUGCCAGGCCCUCUCUGCUUCUGUGGCUCUGACUGUCGCAGACCCCACGUCUAACUGGGAUCAUCAGUGUCUGUCUGUCGGGGCCAGAUGUCCACGUUCAGGAGUCUCCUAACCCGUCACCCUCUGCCUCAUUAGGGCUUCGAGUGGACGGCAUGGCCUUCUACAUUGUACCCCACGGGUGGGGCAGGCGUUGUUGUCAUCACAGCUCUCAGAGGGAAGGAGACCCAGAGGUCAAGGCUCUCGUCCCAGAGCUGGCAGAGCAAAGGAUGUGCGUUGGCGUCGGCGCCUCCUGACUACCACCCGCCGUGCGCCCAGUGUGUGCGGGGCUCCUCUCCAGUUUUCCGCCUCUACUGGGUUGAAUAGCGCCCUCCCCUGCAGGACGAGGCUCGGAACGCGGGGUCCCAGCUGACGUCAUUCGUGAGGACGCGGUCACACUGGACGCAGCCUGGUGCUGAUGCCGUCAUACAAAAGCCGUGCGAGGACACGGCGGGAUCCACAGAGAGGGGGCGGUGGGGGCAGAGGUGGGAGGGACACAGGCACAGGUGGAAGCAGUGGCACAGCCGUACCAAGGUCUAGCCUGCCCCCCCCCCCCCCCCCCGGGGCCGGGAGAGAGGCCUGGGACGAAGCCCUUCAGGCCCUGCAGCGGGGCUUUGAACUUGUGGCUUCCAGGACCACGAGGAAAUAGGCCUCUGUUGGGGAAGCCGCCUGGCUAUGACCGCCCUUGGAACCUCCUGUUGGCCCUGUCUGGGUGGGGGUUGGGCCCCCUCCCCGCCCCUGGAGUGGACCGGGCACACAGGGCUGAGCAGGCCCCUCAGUGACAGGCGCAGCACCCACUCCCGCCCCAGUAAGAACGAGCUCCAAGACCUUUCUGGAUUGUUCCGCGAGAGGAGCUUUGCUCAGCCGGUCCGGCCCACCUGCGGCCUUUUGGUCACUUCUGUGGCUGCACACAGAGCCUGCCCGAGAGGAAAGAACCGAGACGGGGGAGGCCGAGUGGACAGUGAGAGAGAGAGACAGAGAGAAAGGUCUUCCUUUGCCGUUGGUUGACCCUCCAAUGGCCACCGCGGCCGGCGCGCUGAGGCCGGCACACCGCGCUGAUCCGAUGGCAGGAGCCAGGGGAUGGUGUCCGGAUGGCUUCCCAGGCGCUCCCUGGAUUCCUCUGUGAGCUGCCCUGGGAACAAAAGGCAGAGUGGACAGUGAGAGAGAGAGACAGAGAGAGAAAAGUCUUCCUUUGCCGUUGGUUCACCCUCCAAUGGCCACCGCGGCCGGCGCGCUGCGGCCGGCGCACCGCACUGAUCCGAUGGCAGGAGUCAGGAGCCAGGGGAAAGACAAGGGGCAAGAGGCUUCCCCUCCCAGCUGACCCGGCGCCCUUGAAAGCGACUCCUCAGCCGUCUCGCCCAGCACCGCCUUUCUGGCAGACCAACGGCACGCGGCACGAAUCCCGAGGUCUGUUAUCAGGAGAGAAGCACAGAGCGGACGCCGGCUCUGCCGCCAUGGAAUGUUUGGAGGAACGUCAAGUCCUUGGUGCUGCCAGACAGGGAGCGUGGUGCAGGCUCGGCGCCCGGCAGUGCAGGGAAGGGGCCGGCACGGUGGAUCCCGCCAUGGGGUGGGGGUCGGGGUGUGCAGGCAGCAGGCGGCAUCGCCCAGCCGUCAGUCCUGAUCCCCCUCCGCCCUCCUCCCCGCCUUCUCCACGUUCCCCUCUCCCUUCCCACCCCACCCUCUCCUUGAACGGCUGCAAGGUCAGAGGGAGGAGAGGUGGGGGCACCCUGGUUACCACAAGCAAGAGUGCGAGGAGCAGGACUGGGCUUGGGUACGGGGGAACUUGAUGGCAGCAGGAGGGAGUGCGGGAGGCGGCUUCCACCGGGGGCCAGGAUAGAGAAACCCACUUGGCGUAGGUGUGUGUCGGGGCAGGCGGUGGCGCAGUGCUGAGGCCGCCGGUUGCGAUGUCGGCCUCCCACCUCAGCCUGCCUGGGUUCAAGUCCUGUCUCCGCUCCUGGUCCCGGCUCCCUGGUCGAGCACCCCUGGGGAGGCAGCAGGUGGAGGCUCAAGGAAUUGGGUUCCUGCCGCCCACGUGGGAGGCCUGGACUGAGUCCCUGGUCCCCAGCUUUGGUCUGGCACAGCCCUGGCCGUUGCGGGCCUCUGGGAAGUGAGCCAGCGGAUGGAAGAUCUCGCUGUCUCUCUGCCUUUUAUAUAAACGAAAUGCUUUGAAAAAAGAGGAGGUGGGGAAGGAAGAGAAGCGUUGGCUCCAGGCCAUGGAGUAGCGGAUGAUGCAGGGACCUGUGACUGUGUCUGCAGGGAACUGGGCCUUCUGUGUUGCGUUUUAAAGAUUUUAUUUAUUUAUGUAUUUAUUUGAGAGGUAGAGUUACAGACAGAGAGGGGGAGAGACAGAGAGAGGUCCUCCAUCUGCUGGGUCACUCCCCAAAUGGCUGCAAUGGCCAGAGCUGAGCCCAUUGGAAGCCAGGAGCCAGGAGCUUCUUCCAGGUCUCCCAAGCAGGUGCAGGGGCCCUCUACUGCUCUCCCAGGCCGUAGCAGGGAGCUGGAUCAGAAGAGGAGCAGCCGGGACACAACUGGUGCCCACGUGGAUGCCGGCGCCACAGGCGGAGGCUCAGCCCACGACGCCACAGGCGGCCCUGCGCUCGCAUUUUAACUGUGUCCCCUGGAUGCAGGGCAGAAGCCGACAGCCCGGUCUGCUGGUGCUCCUCCAGCGAAUCCCCUGCUGUCCGCUGUGUGGAAUCCCCGGAGUCAUUUCUUCACGCAGCACUUGGGAGGGCUGCCUGCAGCGCUCCUCUUCUCCGUGAGCGGAAGUCACCCAGCCGCCGGCCUGCCUUCCUGGCCAGGCUCCCAGGAAACAUCAAGGCCCACGGCUGGGCUGCUCGUGUCCCAUUUCCCCGGUAGCUAAUGGCUCAGCUGACGUUUCUGUCUGAGCAUGGCGGGAAUCCCGGCUAGAAAGGAUGAGCACCGGGUGCCUGCACCAAUGGGUGCCUGGGAGUCCUCGCAGGGUGGGGGCCCCAGUAGCCACCAGGGCCUGGGUGGGAGGUGGUGUGGUCGGGGGAGAGGGCGGGCAUUCACAACGUGACACCUGAAUGACGGGACACCUGCUAGCACAUCAAUUUCACCAGCGUGAGGGCAGAUGGCUGGGUGUGUGCAUGGCCCUGGGGAAGACAUUCACUGUCCUGGGAGCUGAGCCCUUGGGCUGCCCUUUGUCAACUUUUCCCAGGCUUAGCUAUUAACUAGGGAUCAGGGUCAAGAGGGGGCAUCACCCAGGCUAGUCUCUUUUCUGAAAUCUUUUUUUUUUUUUUAAAGAUUUAUUAGUUUAUUUGAAAGUCAGAGUUACACACAGAGAGAAGGAGAGGCAGAGAGAGAGAGAGAGAGAGAGAGAGAGAGAGAGAGAUAAAGAGUCUUACAUCCCAGAUGACCGCAAUGGCUGGAGCUGCGCUGAUCUGAAGCCAGGAGCUCCUUCUGAGUUUCCCACGAGGGUGCAGGGGCCCAAGGACUUGGGUCAUCUCCUACUGCUUUCCCAGGCCAUAGCAGAGAGCUGGGUCGGAAGUGGAGCAUCCGGGUCUCAAACCGGCGCCCAUAUGGGAUGCCGGCACAGCAGGUGGCGGCCUUACCUGCUACACCACAGCGCUGGCCCUGACGUCUUUUGAUUUCCGUCGCGAUCGCUUGUCUCCCUCACCCUGCUCUUCCUAGGGAGACCUGUUGUCUUCUAAACAAAUCGAAGCCUUGCUUUGGUGGGAAGACGCUGGUCACCGUGUCACCUUCGGGGUGACAGUAAGAGGAUUUGGGGGGGGGGAACCAGGCAGUCUCGGCUCCGCCCCACGCUGCCUGUCUCGUCGCCCGCUGGCCAGCUCUGUCCUGUGGGCCUCACUUCCCUCCAGGGUGCAGUAAGAAUCCAACAGCCGCAGAGGUCUCUCAGUGCCGCCCUGGUGCAUUGAGGUUCUCCAAUAACGUGUUUCCACGCUGUGGGAAUGCAUGACAACGGCAGGGCUGGCUCCGGGCUCACCGUCUGAGAUGCCGUCUGGGACGCCCUGUAUUUGUGGCCAGGCAGAACGGUGAGAAGCUGAGACGAAAGAGGAUUUCUGGAAGUAUGCUCUUAGUGCAGUCUGCUGUUUCCUGUUCCCUAACCCUGUUCUCAAACGUCUUUGGCCUUGAGAAUCCCUCCCCCUACCCGUGGCACCUGCUAGCAACCCGGGCCACACCACUAAGGCUGUCCAAACACAGACCGGAGAGGCCCGUCUGGGAUGGUGAGCCCCGUCGGCAGCUCCCUUCUGAGUGGCAGGAGGCGAGGCUGGAAACCCACACGUGUGGCCGCCACAUGGUGUUGCUGCUGAUACCACGGGGGAAGCACGUUUGGACAGAAAAAUGAUGUAACGCCUCGAGCGCAGCUUCAAGGAGAGGCGUCCACAGCCGUGACGUCUGACAGCGGCAGGCACAGGAGCAGGGAGCUGGAUCGGAAGUGGAGCAGUGGGGGUGUGAACCAGCGCCAUAUGGGAGAUGCUGCUGCCGCCAGCCAUGGCUUAACCCGGUGAUCCACAGCACCGGCCCCAUCAGCACCUACUGCUUAAAGAAGACAGGUGCGAGAUGAGUCAUUUCAGUCUACGUUGAAGCAAUGGCUCCUUCCAGACCUUCCAUAAACAGAGCUCCGAGCGGUGUAGUAGCCAUUUUGCCCAGGCCCAGGCCCUGGAUAAGAUGCAGCUGGCAGAACCCUCACCUCCGCGUCCUCCCAUCCAUCCCAGACCGACUGUGAGGUGAACAACAGGCCCCGCCCAGGCGGGGACCCUCUGUGGAGUGCCCGCUUGGGGGCUCUCAACUCUGAGUCGUCCAAACAAGGGGGAUCUGUGUACAACAAGGGCUUACAAAAUUCAGUCUGGACCUGUCUGGCCGUCCACGGUGGUGAAAUGGAUUUGAAAUCCUGGGACGUGCACUCCAGGUCUCUCUCUCCAGCUUGGGGCCCUGAGCAAGGUCACACUUGGCAACACCUGUACGGGGGCAUUUCAGGAAGUCCACGGCAAACGGAGCAAACAUGGAAAUUCAUACAUUUAGAAAUCCGUGCAUUGCAGAAGUCUUCAAAAAGUUCAUGGAAAAUAAGAUUUUGGAAAAUUAAA